UACGUAGGGGGCUAGCGUUGUCCGGAAUCAUUGGGCGUAAAGCGCGUGUAGGCGGCCCGGUAAGUCCGCUGUGAAAGUCGGGGGCUCAACCCUCGGAUGCCGGUGGAUACUGUCGGGCUUGAGUACGGAAGAGGCGAGUGGAAUUCCUGGUGUAGCGGUGAAAUGCGCAGAUAUCAGGAGGAACACCAAUUGCGAAGGCAGCUCGCUGGGACGUUACUGACGCUAAGGCGCGAAAGCGUGGGGAGCGAACAGG
rnacentral:rRNA from 1 species